rnacentral:rRNA from 1 species
GACGAACGCUGGCGGCGUGCUUAACACAUGCAAGUCGAGCGGUAAGGCCCUUUCGGGGGUACACGAGCGGCGAACGGGUGAGUAACACGUGGGUGACCUGCCCUCAGCUCUGGGAUAAGCCUGGGAAACCGGGUCUAAUACUGGAUAUGACUCCAUGACGCAUGUUGUGGGGUGGAAAGCCUUGUGCGGCUGAGGAUGGGCCCGCGGCCUAUCAGCUUGUUGGUGGGGUGAGGCCUACCAAGGCGACGACGGGUAGCCGGCCUGAGAGGGCGACCGGCCACACUGGGACUGAGACACGGCCCAGACUCCUACGGGAGGCAGCAGUGGGGAAUCUUGCGCAAUGGGCGAAAGCCUGACGCAGCGACGCCGCGUGAGGGAUGACGGCCUGGUGUAACGU